CGAUGAACCACUUCGGUGGGGAUUAGUGGCGAACGGGUGAGUAACACGUGGGCAAUCUGCCCUGCACUCUGGGACAAGCCCUGGAAACGGGGUCUAAUACCGGAUACGACCGUCUUGGGCAUCCUUGACGGUGGAAAGCUCCGGCGGUGCAGGAUGAGCCCGCGGCCUAUCAGCUUGUUGGUGAGGUAACGGCUCACCAAGGCGACGACGGGUAGCCGGCCUGAGAGGGCGACCGGCCACACUGGGACUGAGACACGGCCCAGACUCCUACGGGAGGCAGCAGUGGGGAAUAUUGCACAAUGGGCGCAAGCCUGAUGCAGCGACGCCGCGUGAGGGAUGACGGCCUUCGGGUUGUAAACCUCUUUCAGCAGGGAAGAAGCGAAAGUGACGGUACCUGCAGAAGAAGCGCCGGCUAACUACGUGCCAGCAGCCGCGGUAAUACGUAGGGCGCGAGCGUUGUCCGGAAUUAUUGGGCGUAAAGAGCUCGUAGGCGGCUUGUCGCGUCGGUUGUGAAAGCCCGGGGCUUAACCCCGGGUCUGCAGUCGAUACGGGCAGGCUAGAGUUCGGUAGGGGAGAUCGGAAUUCCUGGUGUAGCGGUGAAAUGCGCAGAUAUCAGGAGGAACACCGGUGGCGAAGGCGGAUCUCUGGGCCGAUACUGACGCUGAGGAGCGAAAGCGUGGGGAGCGAACAGGAUUAGAUACCCUGGUAGUCCACGCCGUAAACGGUGGGCACUAGGUGUGGGCGACAUUCCACGUCGUCCGUGCCGCAGCUAACGCAUUAAGUGCCCCGCC
rnacentral:rRNA from 1 species